rnacentral:rRNA from 1 species
AUGCUUCAGGAGCUGUAUCAUGGCAGGUUGAACUUGUCCAGACUAAACUAUGGUGUCAUUUCUCUACUGCCAAAGAUUAAGGAUGCUAAUAGUAUCCUACAGUAUAGACCCAUAUGUGUUCUAAAUGUUAUGUUUAAAGCUAUUACCAAAGCUCUGACACUUAGAUUUACUCCUCUGGCUCGACAAGUAAUCAACUCUCUUCAGACUGGAUUUAUUCCUGGGAGGUACAUUUUGGAUGGAUGUGUAAUUCUUCAUGAAGUUUUGCAUGAGUUGAAAACCUCUUACUCUGAAGGAAUUUUGCUUUAG